CUGAUAUUAACAGACUGGCCCAUGAAUAUGAUUGUCUGGUCUCUGCGGGAUGUUCUGUUCACUUCGACCCCUCAGCUGGAAAAAAAAAAAUAUGUUCACGGUAAAUAUUAAGACGGUGCUCCAUAAACUUUCGUGUUAAAUAUCGUCUUAUAAUAGUAUAUUCACGGUGAAUAUUAAGGAGACGGUGCACCUAAAGUCUUCAUGUUAGUUAAAUAUCGUCCUUAAAUAGUAGGCUAAGUUCAUGAUGAAUGUUAAAGUGUGCACCAUGUCAGUUUCCUUGAUAAAUAUUGUCUUAAAGUAUUUUCAUGAUUAUUAUUAAGAAGUCUGUGCACCAUAUCAGUUUCCUUGGUAAAUAUCGUUUUAACAAAGUAUUUCAGGAUUGACAUUAGCCUAUUUUAGGUGCGAGAUACGGGCAUACCAGCUUCGAUAAUAUAGCUUUUGUUCAUGGGUGUGACAUGCGGGUUUAUUCCACGGCUGGAAAAGUAUAAUUUCGCGGCGUAGUGCGGUGACACCUGUUCGAUCUUGAAGCCCACGCCACCAAGUGCUGAGUACUGCCCUCUGUGAAGCGCCAGACUAACUACAGCUAGCAAACACCUGCCUUCAUCCACAGCAUGCAACACAGGUCGAGAAAUUCGCAUUAGAUGACAGAUGGUGCUGGGUCUUGCUCUCCUGUAGCCUACUGUAGCGUACCGGAUCAGGUGAGGUGCAACGCCCAUUCGCAGAAAUAAAACAAACAAUUACAUCACAGACUGGCAUUUUUGUUUUGAAGUAGCUCCAGUGAAUGGUUGUAUUUGUUACGAGAAACAAAACCGCACGAAGAAAUGGAGGCCAAGAAAAUUCACAGAACAGAUUGAUUGAAGGCUGGGUAUUCAAGGAGGAUUCUGGACCUUUUUGUCACAGGAGUAAUGACCCAACAGAAGCAAGAAGGAGCGCCGUUUUUCCCCAAAUAAUAGGCUAAAGCAGAAACCUCCAGCCCAUAGUGUAGUACGCUGCAUUCACCCUUCACAGUGUUCAAAGGAAGGCAGAGAUAAGUGUACUAUUGUUAGCAGUGUGUGGACAAGACAGCACUUUAUUAACCAUGUUUUGAGAAAUGUCACACCAAACUCAGCUUUAAACACCAUUACCAUUGCGCUGAUGCAUACUGAGUGUUAAUAUCAUGCUUAGCAAUAAAAAAAUAUGAGUAUUGUUUUUACAAGCUUUUAUUUCUUACAAAUGAUGAAUUUGUCAUUUUUCUAAAUAAAUUAUGUAAUAUCUAUAAGGUAGAUAUUUAUGAUUAUCUUAGUGUCAUGUAGGGAAAUAUAAGAUCAAGACAUUAUGGAAAAGUAUUGUAAAAUGCGGUGGGACUGCUUUCUUUCUGUGUGUGUGUGUGUGUGUGUGUGUGUGGUGAAUCGACACUUUUCGUGAACUCACCCGAAAUCUAAAGACGCAAUCAGUGGGUUAACAGACUGGUAAAUAUAUAUCUUUAAUCUCUACGGGAUGUUCCGCUCACUUUAAAUUCCCAGUAAAAGAGCAUUGUCGACGAGUAAAAUCAAGGAGACUGUACACCAUGGGAAUAUCGUCUUAAAAUAUUUUCAUUCCAUGUUUUUUUUAUACUCGAAAAAAACAAUAGAAAGGUUCCCAGAAACUAACAAUCCCCCUUAGUCUCAACUUGUUUAUUUACUUUCCAUUGAAUUCAGAAAGAUCAAAACUAAUUUCAAUCUCAGUUAUUUUUCCUAUUGAAGGGAAAUAUGGAAAGGCUAGAAAUAACAAUCCUUUUCAUCUUAACUCCUUUAUUCCUGCGUUCAUUUCCCUGUCUUCUCACAAGGGCUCGGGGCCACACGAAGGUCAGGGUCAUGGCAGCGAGCUAUUUCAAAGAAACACAUGUCAGAGUACUCUUUGCCGUGCCGAUCACACACAGGUAGCUCAAGGACCGCCGGGCAGAACCGGGGACACUGGGGGGCUGAGGGAGGAGGCGGGGAAUGGAAAUGGAUUAAAGUCAAAGAUUCGGUUGCAUAAGGGAAGAGAAAGGGAAUAUGAGGAUGUGGUAGUAGUGUGGUGUGGUAUAAUGUGUCCCUCCUGAUGGAUAAGGGAACUGAAGGAGGAUUUGAGGAUUAGUUGAUGUUAGUGUUGCGUGUUUAGGCAGAUCUCAUGUAUGCUUUGUCUUCUUUUUCGUGCUGUUGGUUUCGUUAUUGGAUUAAAGAUUGAAAUUUAAAAGGGAAGGAAUGGGGAAAAAUGAGCUGAUGUGGUAUACGAAUGUCAGCUUUCUCUCGUAUAUUCUUGCCUUUAUUAUUUUCUGCUGCUAGAUUUGCUUUAGUGUAAAGCAGAGUUUCCCAAACUUGACCAUACCAAGGACCCCCAGACAUGCUGAGUCCCAGCCGAGGACCCCCAAUCAAACAAAAUUUAUCAUUACCAUUCCGGGAUACCCAGUACAACCCAGUUCAACGUGAUCAAUGGAAUGGUUUUUAUUUAGUAUGCUGUGAAGCCACGCUUGUUCUUGCUGCACCUGCUGGGGAUAAAGAUGGAACAAAGUAGCAAAUGAAAGAGACAAACGCAUAAUUUAUGUGUGUACAUUUUAACAGCUGUUUACUUUCUGAAUCACUUACAAUUCUGGAAAGACAUGUAAAUGAAGUGUAUACAUCUUAUACGUUUUUGUUGUAUAAAUGUAACUAUUAUUCACUGUAAAGAAAAGUGUAAAAAAACAAAAACAAAACAGAAUUAUAAAUUAUUACAGUUCUUAACAUACACGUUAGUUGGUUAGUUAAGUAGAAACAUAUUUUUUUCUGUACAAUUGUUUGUACCAAAUUAAGUUAGACUUCUAAAAUUCGGCACUGAAUAAAAAUAAAUGUAAAUAAGAAGCAGUUUAAAAUAAAUCAAUAAAAAUGGCAAUAAUAAGGGCAAUAUAUAGCUUAGGUAUGUAUUAUGAUGAUUCUGUAUGAUUGAUUAUUACAGUACAUCAAUCGUAUGAAGAAAAUUGUUCUAAAAGUGUCAAUACAUGAAACACAGUUAACCUUAAAAAUAGUAUCAGUAUAAAGAUGAACCAAAGCUGUAUUAAUGCCCGUUGAAGAUCAGAAAUUCAGUUCGUUCCAAAUUGGAGUAGGUCGGUUCGGUCCGGGUCGAUAUACCAUUGUCUUCCUCUGGUAGUAGUAGUUGUUGUAGUAGCAGUAGUAGUAGUAGUAGUAGUAGUAGUAGUAGUAGUAGUAGUAGUAGUAGUAGUAGUAGUAGUAGUAGUAGUGAUAGUAAUAAUAGUAGAAAUUGUAGUAGUAGUAAUAGUAGUAGUAGAGGAGGACGAGGACGAGGGAUGUUGCUAUUGUUGCCGCUGUUGUUGUUUGAUGCUGUGGAAGUGUCCAGAUUUUGCCGUCUGAUGGAAGCAGCGUCGCAUCAUCACUUGAACCUAUCUUCGGAUCUUCUCUGGGGUACAUUAGUUUCUCCUACUCACAAAGAACAUACUUAAUAUCUGAAGAGCGUCAAAAAACAAAAAAAGGAAAGGAGUCUAUUCCGAUGUCGCUUUCUCGCUUGUUGGUCUAGCGUCUGUUGCAUCACCCCGUCGAUUCUUUAGCAGGUCAGCUCUAGCAAGGGCCGUCACUGACUUGGUAGAGCUCAGGGUUGUUUUUGCAGGUCGCCUCCACUCCCAGGCUGUACGAGUUGCUGUAGGUCUUCCCGUCGCUGC